AGACCAUUGGCCUCCGAUCCCACGUCAGGACACCCUAUCUCUGAUCUUCAAAUAUAGCCAUGAAUGAAUCACUCAGAACCACGAGGAAAGGAUGGGCUAGAAUGGCAAGAAAAAAAAUUAAAAGGAAGACAGAAGGACAGCUUUGAGGUUUGCAAAGUCAAGAGCAGAGGAGCCAAGAAAGGAGACAAGGAAAGGAAGAGGAAUGGAAGAUGAUGCCGUGGCCCAAACCAGCUAUGAGACAAGCUAUGCUUCUUUAGCCCUUCUCUUGAAAAAGUGAAGGUUAAAAGGACUAAAGGAUUCAAGUGAGCCUAGUAAAAAGAUGAUGAUGUCCAUACGAGGAGACGUGAGGCAUUGUCACCAUAACUAGAGCACCUUCCCAGGAUGAUCCUACUUAGCGUUUAGAAUCAGCACACAUUGAACCUGUUCAGACGUGGAUGCCAAACCUCUUUCAGCUCUGCAGCUUCUGCUCCUUCAGUUUCACAUUUUGUUCUGGGCUGACGUCAGUCAUGAAGAGAUCCAUCCCCAUAAACAACUUUGCUUAGAAGUUUACAGUCUGGAACUGGGUCUAGCCUGGAAGUGCCAUCAGCUUCAACCAUAAUGUCACUAGCAAUAGAGGAGGAGGUACGACUGAAUGAGGAUUAGCUUGCUGAGACUCAGAAGACUGCAGAGACUAGUUUUUGUUGGACAGAGCCCAAAAUGCUUGACUCCCAAGAAUGGAUGAUAUAUUAAGACAAGACCCUAUUACAUAGUUAGACAUUAACAAUGAAACUGAAAAAGGUAUUGUGAAUGUUAAAAUUGCACUGACUAAAAUAUACUGAGGUUAAAAUACAGGGUAACUUUACAAAUCACUAUUAAUUUCUUUGGCUUUCAUUGCAAUAACAUUGAUUUAAUUCAUUAGAUUCCUUUCUAAAUCUAUAUUUCAGUUUUAGAGUUGUCAGUUUCUGUUAAUGACAAUUUUGCCCAUCUGUUCUAACAUGAAAAUGAGGCUUCAUGUAGCACACAUGAUAGAUCUCUGAUAGUUUAAGAAGUAAGGCUCUUAAAGGUAUUUCAUUUGGAUUAUACCCCCUUUCAUGCAAUUCACCCUUGAAAUUAAGCCUAGUACUAAACUUUUAACUGUAUAAUCAGAAAAACAAAAAUGUCAGAUCUUGUCAUUUAGGCCACUGUCUAUUUCAUAUUUACAGAAAAAAUUUCAAAACAUUCCCACUCAUUCUCUCUUUAAUGACAGAGCCAUAAUUUUGGGUGUCAGCAUAUCAGAAUCAACGGAUGUGAUUAGAAUAAGAAUUAGUUUCUUUAAUUUGGCCAUUCAAACGGUAACAUUACUACUGUAAGUCAUUUUACUGAGACAGUCUUUGCUGCCAAGCUAGGAUACAACACAGGUUUCAGUCCAGGUUUAAAACUUCAGUUCUUUGCACAGGUCAAUCUUCCGAAGGGGUAAUUUUUCAAAGCAGUGUGAGAGUCUUAGGCACACAAAUCCACUUAGCAAAUAACAAGAUUACAUUCUGUGCACUGCUCCGAAAAUUUACCCCUAAUAUCCUAGCAAUAGGAACACAGUUAUUGCACAUAUUGCAUAUAAGAUAUAAUUUAAAUUGUUUUUUAGUAAGCAAUACACUCCAUUGUAUAAUGCAAUGUUAUUUUUGGAAAAAAUGCUCAGCUAAUUGUUCAGCCUAGAAAAAUAAACACAUCCAUUAAAGGCUAGACUACAUAUUAAUGCAUGACCUUUGUAACCUUUGAUUGUAUUUGUAAACCAUCCAGAAAAAAUUGUGUCCAUUAGAACACACAUGAAAUUAGAUUGAUUCCUCAUCACUAAAAGUCACCAUAUGCAUUUACAUUUGACGCAAACCCUUCAAAUGUAGUAUUGCAUAGAAACAAAGGACAUUGUUCGUACAAUGAACUUCAUUAUUGUUUUUUGUUUUAGCCUUCCCCCCAAAUUCUAAAUGUAGCUUGUGAAAUCAGACUAAAAAAGCUCCUACAGGACCAGACUUCUAAUUUCUAAAUACAAACUAUGGAAAAUUUUAGCAUUUCAAUUGUAAUACUUCUAACAAAUUAAAA